CUUUAUUUCGAUUUAAAUUUUAUGGGGUGGUUCUUCCAUUCCAUGCAUAUGCAGCCGGUAUUUGUUGACAUUACCCCAAACGCUCGAUGAAGAUUACGCCCUGGAAAAGCUAUUUGAAAUUGUCUUAACACUGCAACAACGCUUUCUGUUUCGAAAUACUUUUCAACAAUGAAUGUUCUUUCCGGAAUUGUUAGCUUUGGCAUUAUGAAUGGUGAUUGUAACGUUUUAAACAACAACGUUCUAAAUUUUAGCAAACAAC
rnacentral:lncRNA from 1 species